UUUAGUAGAGGGAGUAAGUCUAUAGUGAGCACGUAGUAGAUGAAAUCUAGAGAGAGAACAAAUCUACACAAAUUAUUUAGUGGGAUGGGGGUAAUAAGCGUCGUUCCAGACAAUGUAUAGCCGUGUAUAUUGCACGCACUACGGACUCCAGUAGUUCGUGUUUUCUUUAAUAAAUGAAGGUGUGAUACAGUACUUCUAGUAUUCCCAGGAAAUCAAAUACCCGA
rnacentral:lncRNA from 1 species